CAGCAGCCGCGGUAAUACGUAGGUGGCAAGCGUUGUCCGGAAUUAUUGGGCGUAAAGGGCUCGCAGGCGGUUUCUUAAGUCUGUUGUGAAAGCCCCCGGCUCAACCGGGGAGGGUCAUUGGAAACUGGGAAACUUGAGUGCAGAAGAGGAGAGUGGAAUUCCACGUGUAGCGGUGAAAUGCGUAGAGAUGUGGAGGAACACCAGUGGCGAAGGCGACUCUCUGGUCUGUAACUGACGCUGAGGAGCGAAAGCGUGGGGAGCGAACAGGAUUAGAUACCCGGGUAGUCCCUGUCUCUUAUAC
rnacentral:rRNA from 1 species